AGAGGCGUUUGCGGCCCAGCGCCUGGACUGGACCUUGGCGUUGGGCCGCAGUUGCCCGGAGUUUUUGGGGCCCCCGGGAACCCGCGCGCCGAGGCCGGCUAAGUUUGGCAGACUCUCUGAGCUCUCGGAAUUCGACUGCCUCCAUUGUUGCUCCUUCUGGCACCCACAGACCGUAACGUGGCCGUAAUUGUUUCCCGGAGAGCUUAGCUUCCCUCUGAGCACCUCCCUCCCCUUUUUAAAGUACCUUCCCACUCGCCUGCGUUUCCUCGCGUUAGUGGUGCAGGGGCCUCCGCAUUUGGGGAAAUAACAAACACCCACUUCCGCCCCCCACCCCAACCGGGAUCCCCAGAUAAUGAGAAAUAGAUGGUGGCCCUCUGUUUGUAAGCUGUUCAUUUGCAUAGGUCGGAACCGCGCACCACAGCUUGAAGCUAGGAAUUAAAAUAUCGGUGGGAAUUAAAUAAGUGGCUGGCUUAAAGAACAUCUUCUUAAUUUAUCCCCAAAUGUAGACAUCUCUUCAGUGGACCCCCUGAUAGGCCGGUUUGCUCCAGGUGAGGUGUGCUCACAGCAACUGCAACCGUGUUUCUUUCAGACCAUGGGCGUGAGCAGAACCUACUAUGCGCCCCUGCUGCCUGGGCUGUGCUGUUCAGUUUGGGGCCACCAGCCCCACAUGGCUCCUGAGCACUUAAAGUAUGGCUAGUCGGAAUCGAGAUAUAUGCAUUCUUUACCAAAUAAUGUUCAAAAAAUUGUUACAUGUUGAAGUGAUAAACUUUUUCCAUAUAUUGGGAUAAAAGUUUUAUUUGUUUAUUUUUUAGUGUGGGUUCUACAGAAUUUUAAAUGUCACCUGUGGCCUGCAUUAUAUUGCCAUUGGGCAGGCUGAUCUAGGGCUUGCAUGCCUGUGAUCCUUAGGUGCACCCUGUGAGGUAGGUGCUUUAACUGUGUGCACCCUGUGAGGUAGGUGCUUUAACUGUGUGCACAUUGUGAGGUAGGUGCUGAAACUGCUUCCUGUUUUUUUUUUUUUUUUCUUUUGAGACGGAGUCUCACUCUGUCUCCAGGCUGGAGUGCAGUGGUGCGACCUGGGCUUACUGCAAUCUCCGCCUCCCAGGUUCAAGUGAUUCUCCUGCCUCAGCCUCCCGAGUAGCUGGGAUUACAGGGGCACGCCACCACACCCAGCUAAUUUUUGUAUUUUUAGAAGAGACGGGGUUUCACCAUGUUGGCCAUGAUGGUCUCGAUUUCUGACCUUGUCAUCCGUCCGCCUUGGCCUCCCAAAGUGCUGGGAUUACGGGCGUGAGCCACCGUACCCAGCCUGCUUCCUGUUUUAACAGACGAAGAAAUGGAAUAACUUCCAACAAGUAAGUAGCCAGUAAGUGAACAACUGAGAUUUGAACCCACGUAGUCUGGCUUUGAGGCUGGUGUGCUCAGUCAUUACUGUGCUAAAAUUUUGAUAAUAUAUUUACUAUGAAUUGGCUUAAGGUUUCACUUGAAAGUAGCAUAUUUAUGGGCAAAAUUAGGAAGUAGGAUGCUCCUGGCAGACCCAUGUAUUUAAAAAAGUAGUUUCUUAUAUGUCAAGCACGGUGAGCAUGUCAUACCUUUAAGACCCCAGUCAUACAUAUAAGGUUUUCUUUGUAGCUAGGAAUUAAAAUAUCGGUGGGCGUUAAAUAAGUGUCUGGCUUAAAGAACAUCGUCUUAACUUAUCCCCAAAUGUAGAUAUCUCUUCGGUGGACUCCCUGAUAAGCCUUUAUGAGAAGGACAGCAUCUCAGUAUGGGGGUAGGCACUGGACUCUAUUGGCAGUGGAAAUUUGUGGGCUGGUACAACUUCAGCCCCUCUGGUUGCCCUCUUGCAAUCUGUCAAGACUAGCCAGGCUGCUUGUUCCAUCAGCAGGUAUACCUGAUUUUUUUAUUUUUUUAAUUUUAUGUAUUUGUUUUUUUCUUUUUUGAGGCAGAGUUUCACUCUUGUCGCCCAGGCUGGAGUGCAAUGGCGCAAUCUCGUCUCACUGCAACCUCUGCCUCCUAGGUUCAAGCGAUUCUUCUGCCUCAGCCUCCCAAGUAGCUGGGUUACAGGCAUGUGCCACCACGCCCGGCUAAUUUUUGUAUUUUCAGUAGAGACGGGGUUUCACCAUGUUGGCCAGGCUGGUCUCGAACUCCUGACCUGCCUCGGCUUCCCAAAGUGGUGGGAUUACAGGCAUGAGCCACUGCGCCUGGCCGGUUUGUCUGAUUUUUAUCAAUUUCAGUUUUUAUUUUUAAAAUAAAUAGUAUAUCCAUAUUAUUCAUUUAUCAGAAAGCCUAUAAAAGAUACACAGUGGAAAAAGAUGUCCCUCACACCUGUCCUAGUGUCACAAAUAGGUGACCACUGUUUCCUGCUCAUUCUUCAAAAUGUUUAUGUAUAUAUGAGCCAAGAUAUGCCCUUUGUGUUCCUUGUUUAGAAAAAUGCCGGCAUGCCAUACAUAUUUACUCCACCUUGUGUUUUUUACUUAAUGUAUCCGGGGGGCAUGUUUAUAGUAACACAUAGAGAGCUCCUUGCUGUUUUUUCAACCCCCUUAACAUAUUAUUGCAGGUAUAUCCAUACCAUAAUUUACCAAUUCUCUAUUGAUGGACAUUUAGACUUUAAGUCUUUUGGAAUUAAAAGUUGAUCCAUUUGGAAUCGAUUUAAUAUAUAGGGUGAGGUAUAGAUCCAAAUUAAUUUUUUUGUCCAGGUGGCUACACAGUCAUUUAUUGAGCAGUUCACUUCUGGACUCUGUAUCCGUUCUAAUGGUCUAUCUAUUCAUGCUCCACUUGCUGGUUUGUUUUAAAUCCAGAGACAUAAAAUCUUGUAAGGGAUAUUGUUUCACACUUUGUUUGGAUCACUAGAAAUCUUAAAGCCUAUAUUUCAGCCCGUGUUAAGCAACGGUAUAGUACCAUGUGGCAUGCAUUUUCUAUGGGCUAAUUUUUAUUUUCCCUUAGCCCCUAUUAUUUCCACAAUUUGGUUUAUUUUUUGUAGAACAAGCCAGGAUUUAAAUAUACCUUUAAGACUCUCUGUUUGCAAGUAACAGAAACCAAGCUGAACUAGCGCAACCAAAAAGGGAGAAUUUACCAUAAUGAUAUAGGUGCUUCUCACAAAAGCCCAGAACAGGAAUACAGCCACAUCUUAGCAAAAACUAGAACCAGUCAUUGAAAAGCUUCCAGGAACCCAAAAGGUACUCUCUGUGCCCCUUGUGAUUGUUUUCUAUGUAUCUCUGCUAACUUGUUCUCUCUGCUUUUCCAUCUACAUGGGAGAAUAUAGUCACUCCCAUAUUGGACUGGGCUGUCAGUUCAGUGAGGAGUCUGAGCCCAAAGAAGGAAGGUGGGGCAGCAGCCCUGCAAGGCCAGACAGCUGAUUACAUACAGGAGAACUACACAAAGAAAAACUAUAUUGAGGCUAAUGGGAGCCAGAUUUUUCCCUGUUGGAGAAGGGAGUUACAAGUACAGAAAUAAGAAAAGCAAGAAGUUUGUGUGAUUGGAUUGGAAUUGGAGAUAUUCAUGUAAAGUCAUGGUUCUUAAUACAUGUAGAUAUAAAAAUAAAUAUAAAUGUAAAAGUGUGUAUCUAUAUAUUUUGUGAGAUUCUGAAAUAUAUAUUUGGUCUUUGACCUCAUUUUCUGGUGUACAACUCCUAAAUUUCUUACAAACACCGAAGUGAUGUCUUUUGUAUGCUAAUGAGUUGGCUCGUGGCUGGGAGCCCCUAGGUAGCUUUAGGAUGGGGUUGGUCAUCAGAAAGACCAAGGCAGGAUCAGAGGGUUGGACCUUCAGCCUAUCACCAACUUCUUGGAGAAGAGAAGGGUUGAAGGUCAGGUUAUCACCAGUGGCCAAUAGUUUAAUCAGUCAUCCCUUAUGUAAUGAAGCCUGCAUAAAAACCCAUGAGGACAGGGUUGGAGAGCUUCUAGAUAGCUGAACACCAGGAGGUUCCUGGGAGGGUGGUGCACCCAGGGAAGGCAUGAAAGGUCUGAGCCCCUUCUCCCACACCUCAUCCUAUUUAUCUUUUCAUCUGUAUUGUUUGUAAUAUCUUUUGUAAACAUAAGUGUUUGCUUGAGUUCAGUGAGCUGCUCUAGCAAAUUAAUCUAACCCAAGAGGGGGUCAUGGCAACCACAACUUGAAGCCUGUCGGAAGUUCUGGAGGCCCAGACUUGGGACUGGUCAGUGGCCAGGGACAGAGUGGGGCAGUUGUUGGGAUGUGUUGGGGAGUGAGCCUCAACCUGUGGGAUCUGAUGCUAUCUCCAGGUUAGAAGGGAAUUGGAGGACACCCAGUUGGUGUCUGCUGCAGAAUCGAUUGCUUGCUUGGUGUGUGGGGAAACGCCCCCCGACAUUUGGUCACUGAAGUCUUCUUUGUUAAUUGUUGAGGGUGAGGGAAUAGGGUGUGUAAUUUUUCCACAGUCAGUUAUAUACACACACAUGUCUAUAAAUGUAUUUACAUAUAUUUCCUAGGCCUAACCAGUGAGAAGGUCUUGGUGCAGCAACACCACAUUAGCCAAGAGAACACCUAACACCUAGCUCUAAACACCUUUCUCCAUGAAAAGGAACCAGGGCGCUUUAGAGAAAUGGCUGAUUUUAGGGUUGGGCCAGAGAAAGUAUAGUAUGAGACUGGAACAUCUUGUGCUAGAAAGUGUGGAAAUGCUCAAGAAAUGGUGGAGACAGUUCAAAAGGACAAAGCAAUCAGCUUGAAAGGGCUCCUGUUGGCCAAAUCUGGGACAAUUUGAACAUCAAAAUAAAUCACAGUAGCAGGAGAUUAUAUCCCAUGGGUUAAAAUGGAAUCUAUGAGUCCACACUUUCAAAAAAAAAAAAUAAAUGGCAAUAAAGAGCUCUUUAGAAUAGAAUUCAAUAAUAUAUUUAGAAAAAAGAAUGGAAUUGUAACCCAGUCAUAGGUUCAGCAGCCCACUGCUUACAGAGCACAAUUAACAAGAGUGAGGUCUGCCGUAAAGAAAGUGACUUUUUAUUCCAAAGCUUAACGUAGGGGGAAAAGUGCAGGUUCCUGCCUUAAGGUACUGAUUUGCUUUUGGGGCAGAAAGCAGGGGCUUUUAAAGUGGGACUUGGCAUGAAUGGCAUGCAGGGGAGGGAGCAAGCAGGUGAGGAUCUACAUGACUCUCCUUAGCGCUUUUAUCUACCGGGUGUUUGAGCUGGCACCAUGGCAGGCAGGACUAGAUUGUAAAGUGGCCAUUGUCUGAGAUGCUCUCCAAGUGGGACAGAGUUUCCUAGCAGGCAUAGUUUAGAUUGUAAAUUGACUGUUGUCUCUCCAGGCAGUCUCCUGGUGGGAGAGAUUUCUGGCUUAGAACCUUCUAAAAGCACAUGGUUAAAUAAGCUUGCCCUGUAAGGAGUGUCUGGUGAAGGGAAGGUAAAGAUUAUAAUUGCAUUUCUAAGGAACUAAGUGGGAAGUGGGAGAAAGGAGAAAAGGAGAAAAGAAAAAAAAAAUGUUUUAAAACACAGUUAUCUUUCUCUUAGAAAAAUGGGGGUACUCAGUAAACAGAAUUAGAAAAUCACCAUUUGGCAAUCAUCAGACAAGAAAUAUCAAUGUUUGCUAAAUCUAGUGGGGAAAAGUUGAAUAAGGAAUGAGUUACUUACAUAGGUUCAAAGCAUCUCCCCAUGAAAUUCUUAUUUAAAAAAACAGGAACUUUACAAAAGAGGAAUCUAGUAGAUAUCGUCUUACUCAUGACAAAAAAAAAAAUCAGCAUUAAUCAGGCUGCACUUUGACCCAUUUAUCAGUUGCUGAAAGUCACACAGCACUCUAGAUACUGACCAGUUGCAUCCGCAGUUGUUCCUAUCAAUAGAAUUUCCAACUUUAGGAUCAUGACUAUUUAACAGUUGAUUUUCAUCUCUAUUGUUCCUAUAGAUAGAAUCUCUGACAUUAAAACCAUAAGGUUUUUGCUUAAGGAUCAGUUAAGAUGUUUACAGACCCUGAAUUCCAUAAGCAUUUUGAAGCGCAGAAUCAGCAUGAGAAGACAGCUUCCUCAUCUCCUGCCCUAUGACUUCAACCUGCACUGUUCAACCAAUGAAUGAUCUCUGCCCUUCGGCCCACUCCAAAACCCUAAAAAACCCUACCCCAAACUCCUUAAGGAGAUGGAUUUGAGGUUCCCUCCUGUCUCCCUGUUCUGUGACACUACGACUAAACCUCUCUGCUGCAGCCUGGUGUCUCCACAUGUUGACUUGCUGAAUGCAUUGGGCACUGGACCAAUUAUGGUUACAACCUUAUCAAGUGCUGACAAGGGUAUAGUACAACUGGAACUCGCAUACAUUGCUGAUGGGAAUGCAGAUGCUGUAACCACUGUGGAAAACAGUUUGGCAGUUUCUUAUCAAGUUAAGAUAUAUUUUCCAUAAAACCUAGUAUAUUGUCUCUCUAGAGAACCCUAAUACACAUAUAUAUACAUAUAUGUAUAUGUAGAUAUACACAUAUACACAUGUGUGGAUGUACACAUAGACACGUGUGUGGAUAUACAUAUAUACACAUGUGUAUGUGUGUAUAUACACGCACAUGUGUGUGGAUAUACAUAUAUACAUGUCUACAUAGAUAUACAAUUAUGUGUAUAUACAUGUAUAUGUAUGUAUAUGUGUAUGUAGAUAUAUGUGUGUUUGUGUGUAUGUGUAUGGAAGUUAAUUUGUUAGGGAGAAUUGGUUCCCAUGUUCACAAAGGUGAAGUCCCACAAUUAGGCAAGCUGGAAAAUGAAAGAAGCCAAUAGUGUAACUCAGUCCAAGUGUGAAAGCCUCAAAACCAGGGAAGCCAACACUACAGCCCCCAUUCUGAGGCUGAAGGUCUGAGAGUCCCUGGGAGGCUGCUAGUGUAAGUCCCAGAGCCCAGAGGUUGAAGAACCUGGAGUCUGAUGUCCAAGGGUGAGAGGCAGAAAAGUCUUCUUGCUCCAGAAGUGUGAGAGAGCAAAAAAGGAAAGCCAAGCAAGCUGAAUGUCCCUUUUCUUCCACCUGCUUUAUUCUAGCCACAUCCCAAUGUGAUUGGAUGGUGCCCACCCACAUUGAGGGCUGGUCUUUCUUUUUCAGUCCACUGACUCACAUGCCAGUCUCCUCUGGAAACAACUCAUGGACACACCAUGAGUUGUGGACACACCCAGCAACAGUGUGUCACCAGUGACCUAGGCAUUCCCAAUCCAGUCAAGUUGACGACUAAUAUUAACCAUCACACCUAGCAUUCCUACUCCUAGACAUUUACCUAAAAGAAAUGAAGCCAAAAUCUAGAAACAACUCCAGUAUCUAUCAGUUGGCAAAUGGAAAACAACUUGUGGCACAUCCAUAUAAUGGGACACUAUGCAGCAAUAAAAAAGGGAUGAAAUACUGGUAUAUGGAACAACACUGUUGAAUCUUAUAAGCAAAGUGAAAGAAACCAGACACAAAGGGUUAUAUAAUGUAGGAUUCCAUUUCUGUGACUUUCUGAAAAAAAGCAGAGCUAUAGGGAAAGAAAUCAGAUGUGUAGCUUUAGGGGUUAUAAUGGGGAGAAUCUUUUUGGGGUGAUAAAAAUGUCCUAUAUCCUGAUCGUGCCUGGUUGUUACACACUGCAAACAUUUGUCAAAACUCAUUGAACUAUACACUACAUUUUAUAUAAUUCAAAUUAGACUUCACUAAUCCUGAUUUCAAACCAAAAUCUAUGACUCUCCAGUGUAGCUCACUUAUAUUUUCAGGGUCACCCUAGGCUCUGGGCAAGUAAGGCACCAACCACCUUUGCCUCACAUCUCAUUGACUUGGACAUGAAACCCAUCUUCCCUCCAUUGUCCAAUAUGCUCAUUCAUGCUCUCUAAGGUAACACUUACUAAAAAUGCAAGAGGAUAUUAGCAGGAAGGUGGGAUAGGAAGAAGGAGAGUUUGCCUUGUAUCAAUGAACACAACUUAAGUAAAAUAGAAGGUAUUGUUCUCAAAGUGUCUUCUGGACCCCAUCAUGGUAGAGUUCCUCUGUGACUUCACCUUUCUUCUCUUUCUUCCGCUCUCCUCUUUGGUAAUUACUUGUUUAUUCAUUUAUUGUUUUUUCAUCUCCUGGAGGCUGAGAAUAAAAGUUUGUACCUCUGCCCUCCCAGAACAAUGAGUAUUUGUUUUGUUCUGCUGCUGUAACAAAAAACCCCCCAGAAACAGCCGGAUUGAUCAACUCUAACUAUUACACAGGUUUUUGAAAACUGGCCAGUCAUUGACAACGCCAACUUUCUGAGACAGCCAGUUAACAAGUCUCAGCCCAAUAACCAUGCUUCCAUAGCUAAUGAUCAGUCAAUCCAUAGAUAUUCCUGUUUCUGAAAAUCCAGCAAUCCCUGAACUCUAAAAUUCCUAAAUACGUAUUUAGGAUAUGCAAUGUGCUUUAAUUAGAAAGACUGUAUGAUAUAGUUUGGAUGUUUGUCCCCUCCAAAUCUCAUGUUGAAAUGUGAUUCCCAGUGUUGGAGGUGGGGCCUGGUGGGAGGUGAUUGGAUCAUGGGGCGGGGGUGGUUCUUCAUGAAUGGUUUACCCAUUCCCUGGGUGAUGAGUGAGUUCUCACUUGGUUCAUGUGAGAUCUGGUUGUUUAAAAGAGUUUGGGACCUUCCCCUUCUCCCUCUCUUGUUCCCAUUCUCACCAUGUGACACACUGGCUUCCCUUCACCUUCCACACUGAUUGAAAGCUACCUGAGGCCUCACCAGAAGCCCAGUAGAUGCUGGCAUCAUGCUUGUGCAGCCUGCAGAACUGUGAUCCAGUUAAACCUUUUUCUUUAUAAAUUACCCAACCUCAAGCAU
rnacentral:lncRNA from 10 species